rnacentral:rRNA from 1 species
GCUUGUCUCAAAGAUUAAGCCAUGCAUGUCUUAGUGUAAAUAACUCUUAUGAAACUGCGAAUGGCUCAUUAAAUCAGUUAUCAAAUACGUGAUGGUCGCCUACUACAUGGAUAACCGUAGUAAUUCUAGAGCUAAUACAUGCUGUUUUGCCUGACUCUGUGGUAAGGCUGUGCUUAUUAGUACCAGAACCAACCCAAGUUCUGCUUGGUUGCAUCCUGAUUCAUAAUAAACGAAUGGAUUGCAUGCUUUGGCUGGCAAUGUAGCAUCUAAGUUUCUGACCUAUCAGCUUCCGACGGUAAGGUAUUGGCUUACCGUGGCAAUGACGGGUAACGGAGAAUUAGGGUUUGAUUCCGGAGAGGGAGCCUGAGAAACGGCUACCACAUCUAAGGAAGGCAGCAGG